rnacentral:lncRNA from 10 species
GUGUUUUGUGUGUGUUGCAUGUGUUGUAUUGUGUGAGGUGUUACCUGUGUGUGUGAGGUGUUUUUUUUUGUGUGUGUUGCGGUGUGUGUGUUGUGUGUGAAGUGUUGUGUGUGAGGUGUUUUGUGUGUGAGGUGUGUCUGUGUGUGUGUUGUGCUUUGUGUGUUGUGUGUUGUGCUGAGGUGUGUUGUGUGUGUACAUGUCUGUGCUGUGUGUGUUGUGUGUAUUAUGUGUGAGGUGUUUUGUGUGUGUGAGGUGUUUUUUGUGUGUGUUGUGGUGUGUGUUGUGUGUGAAGUGUUGUGUGUGAG